rnacentral:rRNA from 1 species
UACGGAGGGGGCUAGCGUUGUUCGGAAUUACUGGGCGUAAAGCGCGCGUAGGCGGCUUUGUAAGUUAGAGGUGAAAGCCCGGAGCUCAACUCCGGAAUUGCCUUUAAGACUGCAUCGCUAGAACGUCGGAGAGGUGAGUGGAAUUCCGAGUGUAGAGGUGAAAUUCGUAGAUAUUCGGAAGAACACCAGUGGCGAAGGCGACUCACUGGACGACUGUUGACGCUGAGGUGCGAAAGCGUGGGGAGCAAAC